rnacentral:lncRNA from 1 species
UUAGAUAUCAUCAAUCUAGGGCUUAAAUCAUUGUACCCUUCUGUACAAAACAAAUAACCUAACCUAGGCACUCAACGUCUCAGUCAACGUUGCUUCUAUGGACCAAAAGACAGCAACCAAAAACCACUAUUGGGUUUUGAUACCCAAUAAUUCGAGUGAUGAUGUUAAAUCGAUGUUGCAUAAAAUAAAUAUCGACACCGAAGAUUGAUGACCUGACCCUAAGAUUAUUUAGACCAUUGGAAGCAAAUUAAUUAGAGUUGAUCAUGGCCCGGUCCCUAACUCAUUGGAUGGCUUAUAUAUGUUGGCCCCUUUAUCGUAUUUGUAUUGGACUUGGCCCCAUCACUUUAACAUAACCUAUAUAUACUAGCCUCCUUUGUUUUGUCAUUAAUGUGUAUUUGCCUUGUUUUGAGAAAGAAUCGAGCCUGCCUUUUGCUUUGUGCUUCUCUUUGGCCGUUUCUUUCUUGUUCUUCUGUGACCUUUGUGGCUGCAAACCCCAUCUCUUUGUGUCCUUAGUGAGUACAAGUUUGAGCAACCUGAGUGUGGGAAGAGUUUAAGGUUUGGGUCGUGAUUGCUUGGGUGUAUUGAUAAGGUCGAGAUUGAUAUCCUGAGCCCGGAAUUCCAUCAAUUGGAGGUUGAUUAUUCAACAUUUGGUAUCAAAGCAAGGUUGCCGAUGGAAUUUCGGCUAAAGUCUAACCAAAAAUGAAGAAGAAACCAGUCGAAUUAAAUGUUUAAAAAUUUUCAAAAAAAUCGAACCUACAACCUCGAUUUUUGGCCUAUCCAGUGGUCUUUUGGUGAAAAGGACAUCGGAUUCUUGAUCUGUAGGUAGAGGCGGUGCUGGGUGGUCGGCGCAUCUGGGUGACAGCUGUUGACGGUGGAGAUACAUGGGGAUUUCGACGAUCACGCAUGGGGGCGUGUGCGG